rnacentral:rRNA from 1 species
GAUGAACGCUGGCGGCGUGCCUAAUACAUGCAAGUCGAGCGAACGGACGAGAAGCUUGCUUCUCUGAUGUUAGCGGCGGACGGGUGAGUAACACGUGGAUAACCUACCUAUAAGACUGGGAUAACUUCGGGAAACCGGAGCUAAUACCGGAUAAUAUUUUGAACCGCAUGGUUCAAAAGUGAAAGACGGUCUUGCUGUCACUUAUAGAUGGAUCCGCGCUGCAUUAGCUAGUUGGUAAGGUAACGGCUUACCAAGGCAACGAUGCAUAGCCGACCUGAGAGGGUGAUCGGCCACACUGGAACUGAGACACGGUCCAGACUCCUACGGGAGGCAGCAGUAGGGAAUCUUCCGCAAUGGGCGAAAGUCUGACGGAGCAACGCCGCGUGAGUGAUGAAGGUCUUCGGAUCGUAAAACUCUGUUAUUAGGGAAGAACAAAUGUGUAAGUAACUGUGCACAUCUUGACGGUACCUAAUCAGAAAGCCACGGCUAACUACGUG